CCCCCUUUUCCCUCUCCCUUUUUCUUCCGACCUCUUUCCCCGGGCAGACUUUCCCGCCUCGGAGGAUCCCAGAAGGAGGACAGGGUGAGGUUCAGCUAAUGCUCUCUCCGGCUUUUCUCUGGACAAAAAGGCAAGAAUCCAACUCCAAAGCCCCCCGAAAACUUGAAUGGCAGGUAACAAACUUGAUGGCCAGAAUUAUACACAGCCACUCUUCAAGCCCAGAAAAGAGUCAAGUGUGAAGAUGGGAAGAAAAGAUUAGAAAAACCCAUGAACUAGAGGAGAAAGGGUUUAAGAGGAGACAGCUUCAGACCAGUGCCGCUAGUUAAGUUUAAAAACUCAACCUGGGGAGAAAUCAUACAAAAACAUGGAAUGUGAAAAGAG